rnacentral:lncRNA from 1 species
CUUCACUGCUGUUCUUCCAGGCUCAUUGGUCAGAUCUUUGUGGGUGAAAGACUGAUCUCUUUCUGGUUGGUGGUGAGUUUUUCAGCAUCCCUGAGGAGACACAUCAUUUUCUAGUGCAGUCUCAGACAUGAGCUCUCUGCAGAGGGAUUUCUGAAAUAUUCUAUCCAACCUCCACCCAGGAUACAGGCUACUUUCUAUCCUCUCCUGGCCUGGGGAACUUCUGGACGCACACUGAAGGUGCACUACUUUUUCUCUCAUGGAUCAAGCAGUUAAAGAUGACUGCAUAGGCUGGAAAUGGAUUAC